rnacentral:rRNA from 1 species
GUGGGGAAUAUUGGACAAUGGGCGAAAGCCUGAUCCAGCCAUGCCGCGUGUGUGAAGAAGGUCUUCGGAUUGUAAAGCACUUUAAGUUGGGAGGAAGGGCAGUAAGUUAAUACCUUGCUGUUUUGACGUUACCGACAGAAUAAGCACCGGCUAACUUCGUGCCAGCAGCCGCGGUAAUACGAAGGGUGCAAGCGUUAAUCGGAAUUACUGGGCGUAAAGUGCGCGUAGGUGGUUUUGUAAGUUGGAGGUGAAAUCCCCGGGCUCAACCUGGGAACUGCCUCCAAAACUGCAUGACUAGAGUACGGUAGAGGGUAGUGGAAUUUCCUGUGUAGCGGUGAAAUGCGUAGAUAUAGGAAGGAAUACCAGUGGCGAAGGCGACUACCUGGACUGAUACUGACACUGAGGUGCGAAAGCGUGGGGAGCAAACAGGAUUAGAAACCCGUGUAGUCC